UACGUAGGGACCAAGCGUUGUUCGGAUUUACUGGGCGUAAAGGGCGCGUAGGCGGCAAUUCAAGUCAUCUGUGAAAUCUCCGAGCUUAACUCGGAACGGUCAGAUGAUACUGCUUUGCUAGAGUGCAGAAGGGGCAAUCGGAAUUCUUGGUGUAGCGGUGAAAUGCGUAGAUAUCAAGACGAACACCUGAGGUGAAGACGGGUUGCUGGGCUGACACUGACGCUGAGUGCGCGAAAGCCAGGGGAGCAAACGGG
rnacentral:rRNA from 1 species